AGUCUUACUGCUUAAACCAGCGGCUCUCUGUUUGUUUCCUUUAGUAGGUAAAUCAGUAAAGGUAGUGAAUAUCACCACGUUGACUCUGGUGGUCCUGAUGCUGAUUCUUCUGCUUGUCUUGACUCUGUGGAUGAGGAAGAAGAAGAAUUUAAAAACUGAACAGAAUGAAGCUGUAGAGAUGAUGGAGGUCGACUCUCAUGAUUAUGAGAACGUCUCAGCGUUGACUGCAGCACAGACAGACGACACAGAGGAGCGGGAAGACCUGGUGUGAAGUCCAGCAGAUGCAGUUGAACCGGAGCUGAGAGCGACCUGAUGGAAAGAGAAAAGCAGCACAGGACAGACUGUGGAAAAGUGAAUGUAUUUACCCUCAAAGCCACAGACUGAUUUCAAUAACUCCAUUUACACCAUGUUCAACAGUUCAAGUAAUAGAAUGGAUGGAAACAAGUUAGUUUGAUCGUUUUAUUGAUGUGACAACCAGCACUGACACACGUCUGUUUGAAUAUGGUGUUAAAGGGACGUUCUGUAGGUCUUUACUGUCACAGAACUACUGAGACACAUCUGACAGUAAAUUAGUGAUUUCAAACCCCCUUGAUGCUAAAACUAUGUUUUUGUUUCCGACCUUAUUUUCACUGCAUAUAAUGAACUGGCAUGUACAGUCCAGUCACUAAACUGUGGUAUUAAGUGUGGGGAGACAGUGUGAAGUGUUCUGUUGUCUGCUCACCAUGACAAUCAGGAUGUCAUGCAGAAAAUGUUGCCUUGUAGGAGUUUAAAUGUCAGACUGUAUGUGUGAAGGGAGGUUUUCUAUAAAUGAAAAGAAAGAGCUCUUCAUCUUAUUCUAGAACAUUCUCAUUCAGAGGCCCAAAACAAAAAGAGGUUUGAUUCAGUUGUGACAGCAGGAAGAUGUUUCCUAAUGAAAUAAAUGUCAUUAUUUUAAUAAAUCACAUCUCACCUGUCUCAGCAGAAAAGACGUGUUUCAAACAGAUCAUUCAGACUCCACUCCAUGUCCAGUGUUUUAUGUAUCACACUUUGUUCAGUGCAGCUUCUUCAGCAGCUCUGUCGAUGCAGCAUCACUUCAGUUCUUUCUAAAUGCUGCAGAAGGCCACACUGCAGAACGCUUUCAACUUUAGCUGUAAAAUGUUUUUCUGUUUAUUUUUUCAAUUGUGUUUUUCCAGAAAUAAAGAACAACUUACAUGUU